CCGACCAGUUUUGACGUCAACGGAACAAAUUUCAACUCCAAAGUGGCUAGACAAAAUUGAUAGCUCGAUGUAUCCACCCCAGCUAGUUUCCUUCCGAAUCCAUGAAGCAUACUCGAUGGACGGCUUCCCUAAAAUGGCAGUAGAGUAAAUGUCAGGAUUAGAGAGAACUUGAUUAGCUACAAUUUCACGAAGCUCGUACGGAGAGAAUCCAAGAGGCUUUGACAAUGCACGAAACAAACAAGAGUUAUCGUCUGGCAUCACGCGGAGCGCAAUAUCACCAAUUGGGGUACUGACGUACGGAGGAUCUUGACUUGUGUUUUUGGACUGGUGCGACACAGCUGGGGGAUUGGAGAUCUCUGUUUGCGGUGGGAAUGUAGGUUUUGUGGCUGCAUUAGGAAUUGGAGGUUUUGCUGGUUCAUUCGUUGAAAAUGAGGUAGCGGCAUUUUUGAGAACGAGGAUUUGCUGUCCUGAAGAAACCAACGUCGAUAAAGGAACGUCUGAAUUAACUAAAGGAAUAUCUUGAGGAGGAAAUCCGAAUUUUAAAGCAAUCGAGUUUCUAGGCAACGAGAAUUUCGCUGCCACUAAGUCUAAAAAGGAUCCAACAGUCGCAUUUGCUUCAACUGUCUCUACAGCAGACUGAUUUUCGUAUUUUAAACGAAGACGUAGUGAAGACAUAGUCAGAUAAUUUUAACAAACCCGGAACGUUGCAAAAAAGCAAUCAGCCGUAAACGGGAGAAACAGGAGUACACUUAAAGAGAGCGUUCUCAAAAAAUUACCAAAUCCUACUAUGUAAAUGAAACUGACAAUAGCACACCAAACAAAAGCUUCACUAAACAACCGAUUUUCCCUAAUAAGGGAAAUUGAGUAACCAGUUUCUUGUUUUCUUCUUUUUUCUAGAAAACUCUGGAAUUUUUAACUUAGGUACAAUAACUUUAUUUCUAAAUUUGAAAGAAAAUUAUAAUGAAUCAGCAAAAGAAUAUACCAACAAACGUCUUGAA